rnacentral:misc_RNA from 1 species
CGCAACUUGCACUCUGCCUCGGCAGAGUAUGCCUGUUUGAGAAUCUAUAGUAUUUAUUACCGCAAGGUAGAUUUGGGGCGUCUCUCGCGAGUGCCCUUAAAGCUAUAGCCGCCGCUGGGCGACGCUGGGUGUUUGAAUAGAACGCAGUUCUUGCCAUGCUCCGCGUCGCAUGCGUGGCGGUCCACGACUAAGCUCACGCUUGAACCAUGGUCUCAAAUCAGGUAGGAGGACCCGCUGAACUUAA